rnacentral:lncRNA from 1 species
UGGCGGGCCCAAAUGGCGGCGGCGGCGCUAGGCGCCUAGGCCGGCGGGGGCCAUGAGCGCCGCCCGGCCCCAGUUCAGCAUCGAUGACGCCUUCGAGCUGACCCUGGAGGACGCGGGGCCUGGGCCCGAGUCGAGCGGGGUCGCCCGCUUCGGGCCGCUGCACUUCGAUCGCCGGGCCCGAUUCGAGGUGACUGAUGAAGAAAAGCAGUCCCGGCUACGCUACCAGAAUCUGGAAAAUGAUGAGGAUGGAGCCCAGGCCUCUCCGGAGCCUGAUGGGGGAGUCAGCACCAGGUCAGAGCCAGGUGGGGACCCACUCUGCAUCCCAGGCCCAUGUCUCAGGCUCCUGUUUGCAAGAACCUGCCCAGUCCCCAGCCAGAUGCACGUAUCUGUCGUGUAGGGACCCCAGCCCUAUUUCCCUCGUGGGAUCUUCUGUCCAGCUGGGUCACCUUACCCCAGUACCCCGUGCCACCACCUCAUCACUGCCGGGCUUUCUAUAUUUGAGGAGUCCUCUGUUUAACCCAGUCCCCACCCUUCCCUUUUUCAUUCCUCUUAACACACACCCCAUUCUAUAAUUCACUCUCACCCCCCUACCCUUGACCUCUCUAUCCUGCAGAGGUUAACCUCAGUCCCUAUAUUUACCCUGAGUUUAUCUCUGGACUUUAUCUUCCCCUCCCGCCACCGUCCUUCUGUCCUUCAGGGGUUCUGGGCACAUGUCUAUCCGUAGCUCCCAGUGGUCCUUCAGCACCAUCAGCAGUAGCACCCAGCGCUCCUACAAUGCUUGCUGCAGGUAAGAGCCUCCUCACUUGGGGUUCAGCUUCCAAGCACCUUCAGCCCUGGCUCCCUGCCUGCUCCACCUCCUUGACCUCUGUCUUGCUCUCCUGCCACCCAG